rnacentral:rRNA from 1 species
UUUAGUCAUGGCUCAGGAUGAACGCUAGCGGCGUGCCUAACGCAUGCAAGUCGAACGGUUAAAGCUCUCUUCGGAGAGUGUAUAAAGUGGCGAACGGGUGAGUAACACGUAGAUAACGUGCCUUGAAGUGGGGGACAACCAUUGGAAACGAUGGCUAAUACCCCAUACGUUGGUGUCUUAUGACAUGAACAAAAGCUCCGGCGCUUCAAGAGUGGUCUGCGGUCCAUCAGCUAGUUGGUAAGGUAAUGGCUUACCAAGGCGAAGACGGAUAGGGGGCGUGAGAGCGCGAACCCCCACACUGGUACUGAUACACGGACCAGAUACCUACGGGUAGCAGCAGCGAGGAAUAUUGCGCAAUGGGGGAAACCCUGACGCAGCAACGCCGCGUGGAGGAAGAAGGCCUUCGGGUCGUAAACUUCUUUUCUGACAGAAGAGAAAGGACGGUAUGUCAGGAAUAAGGCCCGGCUAACUACGUGCCAGCAGCCGCGGUAAAACGUAGGGGCCAAGCGUUAUCCGGAAUUACUG